AGUUUUGGAUUCUGCGAAGAACAAAGAAUUGCCAAAGGAUCGGAGUUCCAAGGGAUCUAAGAACGGUAGCAAGGCAAGUUCUUCCAUUCCUGGAAUUCAAGAUCUAGCAGACGAAAUAAGAAAAUCAUUAGAAAUCAGUAAAAAGG